rnacentral:rRNA from 1 species
GACGAACGCUGGCGGCGUGCCUAACACAUGCAAGUCAACUUGACUGAAGGAGCAAUCUGACAGUAGAGUGGCGCAAGGGUGCGUAACGCGUAAGUAACUUGCCCAAGGUAAGGAAUAACGUCGAGAAAUCGGCGCUAAUACCUCAUAAUGCAGCGGAUCCGCAUGGAUAUGUUGUUAAAGGUUUACCGCCUUGGGAUAGGCUUGCGUCUGAUUAGCUAGUUGGUGUGGUAACGGCACACCAAGGCUACGAUCAGUAACUGGUCUGAGAGGAUGAUCAGUCACACUGGAACUGAGACACGGUCCAGACUCCUACGGGAGGCAGCAGUGAGGAAUAUUGGGCAAUGCUCGAAAGAGUGACCCAGCAACGCCGCGUGGAGGAUGAAGGUAUUCUAUAUCGUAAACUCCUGUGAGAGCAGACGAAAGACAGAUUAUUAAUCUGGAUGACUGUAUGCUCAGAGGAAGCCCCGGCUAACUAC